rnacentral:rRNA from 1 species
UCAAGCUACAAAGAGCUUACGGAGAAUGCCUUGGUACAUGGCGCCGAAGAAGGACGUGACAAGCUGCGAAAAGCUGCGGGGAGGAGCAAAUAUCCUGUGAUCCGCAGAUAUCCGAAUGAGGGAACUCUGCACAAGUAAUAUUGUGUAAUCCGUUACUGAAUCCAUAGGUAACGGAGGGGAACCCGGGGAACUGAAACAUCUAAGUACCCGGAGGAAAAGAAAAUAACAAUGAUUCCGAAAGUAGUGGCGAGCGAAAUCGGAGAAGCCCAAACCUUAGGUAGUAAUACUUAAGGGGUAAGGACCGCGAGAUAGCAUCGGGAAAGGUAGUUGAAUUAUCUGGAAAGGUAAGACAAAGAGGGUGAAAUCCCCGUAAACGAAAUCUUAAACGAGCGAGCGUAAUCCGGAGUACGUCGGGACACGAGAAAUCCUGACGGAAGAAAUGGGGACCAUCCCAAAAGGCUAAAUACGACCAUGUGACCGAUAGCGAAUAGUACCGUGAGGGAAAGGUGAAAAGAACCCCGGGAGGGGAGUGAAAUAGAACCUGAAACCGUAAGCUUACAAGCAGACAGAGCACAUUUUAGGUGUGAUGUCGUACUUUUUGUAGAACGGGCCGGCGAGUUACGAUGUGAUGCGAGGUUAAGUGUUAAAGACACGGAGCCGAAGCGAAAGCGAAUCUGAAAAGGGUGCAAAGUAUCAUGUCGUAGACCCGAAACCGAAUGACCUAACCAUGAGCAGGUUGAAGCAAUGGUAAAACGUUGUGGAGGACCGAACACACGCCUGUUGAAAUAGUCGGUGAUGACUUGUGGUUAGCGGAGAAAUUCCAAACGAAUUCGGAUAUAGCUGGUUCUCCUCGAAAUAGCUUUAGGGCUAGCCUCGUAUAUGAUCCUUGUCGGUAGAGCACUAACUGGCCUAGGGGGCUUCACAGCCUACCGAAGCUUAUUAAACUCCGAAUGGCAAGGAAUCGAGUACGGGAGUCAGACAGCGACAGCUAAGUGCCGUUGUCAAAAGGGAAACAGCCCAGAUCUACAGCUAAGGUCCCCAAGUGCAGGUUAAGUGGAAAAGGAUGUGACAAUGCAUAGACAACCAGGAUGUUGGCUCAGAAGCAGCCACACAUUAAAAGAGUGCGUAAUAGCUCACUGGUCGAGUGAUGUUGCGCCGAAAAUUAACGGGGCUCAAACCUGCCACCGAAGCUUAGGAAUACGCGAUGCGUAUUGGUAGAGGAGCAAUGUAUAUGCGCAGAAGCCGUACCGGAAGGAGCGGUGGAGUAUAUAGAAGAGAGAAUGCCGGCAUAAGUAGCGAGAGCGGAGCGAGAAACUCCGCCGUCGAAAGUCUGAGGUUUUCCGGGGAAGGUUCGUCCGCCCGGAGUAAGUCGGGACCUAAGCGGAGGCCGAAAGGCGUACGUGAUGGACAGCGGGUUGAUAUUCCCGCACUACCGAGAGAGUAAAUGAAGCAGUGACACGGAAAGAUAGAAGAAGCGCGCAGAUGGAAAAGCGCGUCCAAGCAGUGAGGGAGGCUUGUAGUAAAGUACGCAAGUCAUAAUCCUGGGCUGUGACGGGGAGUGGACCAAGGAAACGAAGUCUUCGAAUCUACGCCGGCGAGAAAAGCUGCUAAAUAUUUCGAGGUACCCGUACCGCAAACCGACACAGGUAGACGAGAAGAAAAUUCUAAGACGAACGGGAGAACCCUUGUUAAGGAACUCGGCAAAAUGACCCCGUAACUUCGGGAGAAGGGGAGCCAUGGAGACAUGGCCGCAGUAAAGAGGCCCAAGCGACUGUUUAUCAAAAACACAGGUUUCUGCUAAGGCGUAAGCCAAGGUAUAGGAGCUGACUCCUGCCCAGUGCCGGAAGGUCAAGGGGAUCCGUCAACGCAAGUGAAGCGGUGAACUUAAGCCCCGGUGAACGGCGGCCGUAACUAUAACGGUCCUAAGGUAGCGAAAUUCCUUGUCGGGUAAGUUCCGACCCGCACGAAUGGUGUAACGAUUUGGGCACUGUCUCAACAGGGGGCCCGGCGAAAUUGUAGUAUACGUGAAGAUGCGUAUUAACCCGCGACUGGACGGAAAGACCCCGUAGAGCUUUACUGUAACUUGAUAUUGAAUCUCGGCAAUUGAUGCACAGAAUAGGUGGGAGGCUAAGAAGCAGACGUUUCGGCGUCUGUGGAGCCAACUUUGGGAUACCACUCUUCGAUUGCUGCGAUUCUAACCGAUACCGUUGAAGCACGGAUCGGGACAUUGUCAGGUGGGCAGUUUGACUGGGGCGGUCGCCUCCUAAAAUGUAACGGAGGCGCCCAAAGGUUCCCUCAGAAUGGUUGGAAAUCAUUCGACGAGUGUAAAGGCAUAAGGGAGCUUAACUGUGAGACAGACAUGUCGAACAGAUGCGAAAGCAGGGCUUAGUGAUCAGGUGGUAUGAGAAUGGAAUUGCCAUCGCUUAACGGAUAAAAGUUACCUCGGGGAUAACAGGCUUAUCUCCCCCAAGAGUUCACAUCGACGGGGAGGUUUGGCACCUCGAUGUCGGCUCGUCACAUCCUGGGGCUGAAGCAGGUCCCAAGGGUUCGGCUGUUCGCCGAUUAAAGUGGCACGCGAGCUGGGUUCAAAACGUCGUGAGACAGUUUGGUCCCUAUCCAUCGUGGGCGUAGGAUAUUUGAGAGGGCUUGUCCUUAGUACGAGAGGACCGGGAUGAACGCACCUACUGUGCACCUGUUGUCGCGCCAGCGGCAUAGCAGGGUAGCGGAGUGCGGUUGAGAUAAACGCUGAAAGCAUCUAAGCGUGAAACUCACCUCAAGAUAAGAUAUCCCAUAUCGUAAGGUAGUAAGACCCCUUGAAGACAACAAGGUUGAUAGGUCGGAGGUGUAAACGUGGCAACACGUCAGCUGACCGAUACUAAUAGGUCGAGGGCUUGAUCUC